GGCGCACGGGUGAGGAACGCGUUAGGUAAUCUACCCUCUGGCGGGGGACAACACUCCGAAAGGAAUGCUAAUACCGCAUAAGACCACGCGUACUACGGUACGAGUGGUAAAAGGCGCCUCAAAGCGUCACCAGAGGAUGAGCCUGCGUCCCAUCAGCUAGUUGGUGAGGUAACGGCUUACCAAGGCGAAGACGGGUAGCUGGUCUGAGAGGAUGAUCAGCCACACUGGCACUGAAACACGGGCCAGACUCCUACGGGAGGCAGCAGUGA
rnacentral:rRNA from 1 species